CCCCUCUCAGGGUUGCACCUGGAGAGUUUCCAGUACUCUACCAGUCUCAACUAUGGGAGGGAGAGUCAAGCAGAGGCCUAUCUAUUCCAUUUCUAGCUUGGGCAGUGCCUGGCGAGUGGAAGACCAUCUGCUACAAGU
rnacentral:snoRNA from 1 species